AGUUUUUCAACAUUGGUCUGGUUUAGUUGGGGAUCUUGCAGCACUUAUUUUAAAAAUGGCGCUGAAGUUUUAUGCAUCAUGAAACACGGUGUGACAAGUGUGCAAGAGAAUUUUGGUCAUCCAUAGAUGACUUUUAGUUGAACACACCUAAGAGUCCCUAUCAUAUUGCUUUUGUUCUUGGUCCAAAAUUGGAAUCUGACGAGGAAAUCUUUGUUAUUUCAUCCAAAUGCAUUAACACAGAUUUUGAAUCUGACACGAGGGAUAAUGAAACGCAGAAGUUGUAAGCAGUUUACUUUAUGAACAUGACGACAAAUGUUCGGAUUUGGAAAGCCUUGAACUCUGAGAUGCAUGGAAGCAUUAUUGAAAAAAUAUUGCAGCCUGAUCUAAAUAGUAGACAGAACUGUUAAAAAUGUCUAUCAGAAGCAGAUAGUCAUGCUCCAUUCAUCAAGGAAGACGUGACAAUAAGUUCUCAAAAUCGUAAUGAAUCUCAACAAGAUGCUGUUUUGAGCAGUGUUGAUAUGACAAACUGUCAUCA